rnacentral:rRNA from 2 species
CCUGUGAGGGUUGCUGGAGGUAUCAGAAGUGCGAAUGCUGACAUAAGUAACGAUAAAGCGGGUGAAAAGCCCGCUCGCCGGAAGACCAAGGGUUCCUGUCCAACGUUAAUCGGGGCAGGGUGAGUCGACCCCUAAGGCGAGGCCGAAAGGCGUAGUCGAUGGGAAACGGGUUAAUAUUCCCGUACUUGGUGUUACUGCGAAGGGGGGACGGAGAAGGCUAUGUUGGCCGGGCGACGGUUGUCCCGGUUUAAGCGUGUAGGUGUGUGUUCCAGGUAAAUCCGGUUCACUUUAACACUGAGGCGUGACGACGAGGCACUACGGUGCUGAAGCAACAAAUGCCCUGCUUCCAGGAAAAGCCUCUAAGCAUCAGGUAACAUCAAAUCGUACCCCAAACCGACACAGGUGGUCAGGUAGAGAAUACCAAGGCGCUUGAGAGAACUCGGGUGAAGGAACUAGGCAAAAUGGUGCCGUAACU